rnacentral:rRNA from 1 species
GAGCUCCUACGGGGGGCAGCAGUGGGGAAUAUUGCACAAUGGGGGAAACCCUGAUGCAGCAACGCCGCGUGAGUGAAGAAGUAUUUCGGUAUGUAAAGCUCUAUCAGCAGGGAAGAAAAUGACGGUACCUGAGUAAGAAGCCCCGGCUAACUACGUGCCAGCAGCCGCGGUAAUACGUAGGGGGCAAGCGUUAUCCGGAUUUACUGGGUGUAAAGGGAGCGUAGACGGCGAUGCAAGUCAGGAGUGAAAGCCCG